rnacentral:piRNA from 1 species
UUGUAGGACCUUCACUGUUGCAGAAAAUCC